ensembl:lincRNA
CUCGAUAUCUCUUAAGACCUGUUGGCUUCCCUGACUUGCAGCGUCAGAUAAUCUUUUAUAAUUUGUGUGUGUGUGUGCGCGCGCGCGUGUGCCAGGGACCGAAUUCGGGACCUUCCACUUUUGAGGCAGGUGCGGCGCCGCUGAACUAAAUCCCCAGCAGAUACUUCGCAAAUUUUUUGGUACUUGAUGUAACUUUUCCAACACUGUCAGUGUACCUGACCACUUCUCAUAGCUCCCUCACCUACUUUUUUGCUAUUCCCUAAGAAAAUAGCAUCAAACUUCUUUAAAUGUUUGUUAAAGUCAAUAAGAUGCUGAGUAUGCGUCUGUAAGCAUACAUUCAGUGCUGAGUUUGAAGGAGGUAAAAAUGUAUAAUCCAAAUAGAAAAUGCAAAAGGGCUGUGUAAGUAGCUCAGUGUGAAUGUCCUGGGUUUAAUCCUCAGAACCACAAUUAAAAAUUUAAAAGCCCCUUUAGGGCUAGAAACUUAGCUGGAGCAUUCCUGAGCCAGUUCCACCUUGUUUUGUAUCCCUGUCUGAGCUGUUAUCUCUGAAAUUUUGUUGCAGGUGAAAAAGAGUCUCAGGUGGACAUGUAAGGCUUGUGGUGAGAAGCAGUCUUUCUUACGGGCUUAUGGUGAGGGCUCUGGUGCCCACUGUAGAAGCCACGUUCAAAAACUAAAUCUGCUGCAGGGACAGGCUUCUGAGCUGUUACCCAGGGGAUACAGCCACAGCGCAGCACAGCUUCCGCGUGGCCCAGAUGCCCAAGACGCUUCCGACGCUGGUGUUGCCCUGGAGUCGCAGGAUAACGGGGACCUGAGGGGAGCGGCGCAGCGAGGGAGCCCUGGCUGUCCCUGGAGGGCAACAGCCCCGCCUUCUAAAUGGGCUCGGUUUCUCCUGCCACCUGUACACAGCCCCCAGGAGGACACAGAGCCACUGGCAUCAGCACAGAGGGGGCCUGGGCCAGCCCGUCCAGCACAGGCCACCCCUGAGGAAGGCCGCUUCAGUGGGCCCACUGCCCCCACCAUGCCUCCUCGGGCUGUGCUGGGGAGGCCCUGUGGGGAGACCCCGUGGGCAGAGGGCUGUCAGGUGGCCCCAUCCGUGCGACGGUGCAGCCUCUUUACAACUGGGGAGGAGUUCGAGGAUGACCUGUGAGGUCCUUUAAGUCCAUCUCUUGCAAUUACUUUAGAAGAGUUUACAGAAAGAUGGGCCCAAGGAUGCAACUGGUGAUAGAAAGUUUGCCAUGCACGCACAAGGCCCUGCACCUAAUCCCCAGCAACACACACAUUACACAACUUUGCAAUGAAAAGGCUCGAGCAAAGUCAAGUCAGGCAAGGUGGCCACAUGCCUGUAACCCCAGCGUAUGGGAGGCUGAGUCAAGAGGAUCCUCAGCUCCACACCAGCCAGUCUGGGCUACCUGCUGAGACCCAUCUUGGGAGACCAAAAAAGACAAUGAAGGCUAAAGGAAAAGUUGAAAGAUAGUUAACAGUGAAUGCCUGUACUUUUUUUUUUUUUAAAGCACCCCUUCUGUGAAAGGAUUAAAAAAAAAAAAAAAAAC